rnacentral:tRNA from 4 species
GCCUCCGUGGUGAAGUGGAUAUCAUGCGACCCUCCGAAGGUCGCGUCACAGGUUCGAUUCCUGUCGGAGGUACCA